ensembl:snRNA U6 U6 spliceosomal RNA
GUGCUCACUUCAGCAACACAUAGACUAAAAUUGGAACCAUGCAGAGAAGAUUAGAAUGGCUCCUGUGCAAGGAUGAAACUCAAAUUCGUGAAGAGUUCCAUAUUUUU